UACGUAGGUGGCAAGCGUUGUCCGGAAUUACUGGGUGUAAAGCGCGUGUAGGCGGCAGGCCAAGUCUGCGGUGAAAGCGCCCGGCUCAACUGGGCGAGGUCCGUGGAAACUGGUCAGCUGGAGGACGGUAGAGGCGAGUGGAAUUCCCGGUGUAGUGGUGAAAUGCGUAGAGAUCGGGAGGAACACCCAUGGCGAAGGCAGCAGACUGGGCAUCACCUGACGCUGAGGCGCGAAAGCGUGGGUAGCAAACAGG
rnacentral:rRNA from 1 species